CAGAGGGUAAGUUUUGCUUCUCCACCGGUUACAGAUGCCUGCUGCUGGAGUUCCAGGAGCCUGUCUGGGAGGCACGAAGAUGACAGCAGUGACUGGGCACUUACUUUAAAUCAGCAACCCUGCCGCACGGGGUGAUCGUGACCAUCUCCGCUGCACGGAUGUGAACACGGAGGCUCAGCCAGUCAAUCCACUCACCUAAAGAGUGGACCUGGGAUACGAACCUAGGCAGUGCCACUCGAAUCUGAGUGCGUAACCGCUCCUGUAUUCUUCCCCGUCACCGCGUCAUCUUCAGGGAGACAUAUGUGGAUGAAACAAUGUGAGCCGAGAGAGAAGGAAGCUCAGAAAGGCUUCACAGAAGCAGACCCUUAACAAAAGCCCGGAGAUCUCAUUGUGAAGCCCAGCGUGUGCAAGAGACGACAGCAGAGCAGCUCGGUUUGCAGCAGGCGGGGACCCUGGGGACUGCCUGCUCAGCUGACCUAGACCCUGCCUCAACCCCUUCAGGAACGUUCACGGAACCCCAAUUCUCCCCAGGAAUUGAAUAUGGCUCCGGUGCGCGCCAGCCCUUGAAUUUUACCACUGGGACAACUGAGGCCCCGCGAGGAGGCUGCAUCAGUAGUGGGUGUGUGGAGUGGUGUUCCCCAGAUCCCCGGACUGGAACCGGGCGGGGGUCUGCUGAGCGGUAGUCCCAACUCCACCUCCUCCGGGCUUCCCUUCCAGGCUAGCGGAGCACCCUGACCCAAGGCCUCCAGGGUUGUCAUGAGGAGUAAAGGAGUUAAUACUUGCAAAGUACCUGGACGAGUGCCUGGCAUGCGGGUGCUCAACAGGUGGGCGCUAUUAUUGUUGUCAUCGCCAUCUGCACCUCUCCAGCCAUCGUCGUCAGCAACAGUUAAGUUGAUCAACCACCACGUGGAUCAGUCCUCGUGCUUGGGUGCCGUGAGGGCAUUGGGGGCCAUUGCCUACGUUUUGCUCACCAAUUCCUUGGAGAUGGACACUCAAUUGACAACAUAGCAGUGAGGAUCCCUGGCCACCAGUGGAAGGGUUUCUGCUCCCAGGAGCGGGGUCCCUGGCCUAGGAGUCGGCAAACUUUCAGUAAUGGUGAGAUUGUAAAUGUUUUUGGCUGCAUGGGCUAUGCGGCUUCUGUUGUGACUGCUUAACUCUGCUGUGGUUGCACCAAGGCAGCGGGAGACCACAUGUAA